CAGACCACGGAGUAGACAGCCUAUCAGUAUUCAGUAGAGAAAUGUUAGCAACAGGCAGUGGUAUCCUGGUACAGCUGUCAGACCACUCCACAGAUGGCAUCUAGGGGAUGGUCCUGUAGAACACGCAACUACUCAAACUCCGGCUGACUUAUUGUGUUCAAACUACCCAACAAAAUCAAAAACAUACAGCUGCCACAGUGCAUAA
rnacentral:lncRNA from 1 species